rnacentral:rRNA from 1 species
AUUGAACGCUGGCGGCAUGCUUUACACAUGCAAGUCGAACGGUAACAGGUUAAGCUGACGAGUGGCGAACGGGUGAGUAAUGCAUCGGAACGUGCCCGAUCGUGGGGGAUAACGCAGCGAAAGCUGCGCUAAUACCGCAUACGAUCUGAGGAUGAAAGCGGGGGACCGUAAGGCCUCGCGCGAUCGGAGCGGCCGAUGUCAGAUUAGGUAGUUGGUGGGGUAAAGGCCCACCAAGCCAACGAUCUGUAGCUGGUCUGAGAGGACGACCAGCCACACUGGGACUGAGACACGGCCCAGACUCCUACGGGAGGCAGGAGUGGGGAAUUUUGGACAAUGGGCGAAAGCCUGAUCCAGCAAUGCGGCGUGCAGGAAGAAGGCCUUCGGGUUGUAAACUGCUUUUGUACGGAGCGAAAAGGCUCUCUCUAAUACAGGGGGCUCAUGACGGUACCGUAAGAAUAAGCACCAGCUAACUACGUGCCAGCAGCCGCCGUAA